UUUAAAGCUUGGAUCCCAUGCUGGAUUUUACUUUUUAUCAUCUAAGUUUUCCUGGAGCAGUCAGGAGCACAGUCAGCGAUCUCCUCCUAGAGUGUGGUACGCACCAUUCACAUUUUCCCAGGAGGGUUCCAGGAGUGUCAGUACCACUCCUUGUCACCACUUUGGUCUCCUUAUGCUAUUUUGGCGAUUGCUUCCCAUUACUCCAUCAGCUCACUAUCAAAUUGACCUGCUCCAUGGUUUGCUGUCCUGUGUAUCUCUUCCUUAACACUCCCACAGUGUCUCUGAAGAUUUUCUCCUUUUCAGUCAAUGAAUGACUGAGAUAGGGCUGUAUCAUCAGCAAACUUUUGGUGAAAUUUUGAUGCAC
rnacentral:lncRNA from 1 species